AUUGAGCCUUGAUGUGUAGGAUAGGUGGGAGGCUUUGAAGUGUGGACGCCAGUCUGCAUGGAGCCGGCCUUGAAAUACCACCCUUUAAUGUUUGAUGUUCUAACGUGGACCCGUGAUCCGGGUUGCGGACAGUGUCUGGUGGGUAGUUUGACUGGGGCGGUCUCCUCCUAAAGAGUAACGGAGGAGCACGAAGGUUGGCUAAUCCUGGUCGGACAUCAGGAGGUUAGUGCAAUGGCAUAAGCCAGCUUGACUGCGAGCGUGACGGCGCGAGCAGGUGCGAAAGCAGGUCAUAGUGAUCCGGUGGUUCUGAAUGGAAGGGCCAUCGCUCAACGGAUAAAAGGUACUCCGGGGAUAACAGGCUGAUACCGCCCAAGAGUUCAUAUCGACGGCGGUGUUUGGCACCUCGAUGUCGGCUCAUCACAUCCUGGGGCUGAAGUAGGUCCCAAGGGUAUGGCUGUUCGCCAUUUAAAGUGGUACGCGAGCUGGGUUUAGAACGUCGUGAGACAGUUCGGUCCCUAUCUGCCGUGGGCGCUGGAGAACUGAGGGGGGCUGCUCCUAGUACGAGAGGACCGGAGUGGACGCAUCACUGGUGUUCGGGUUGUCAUGCCAAUGGCACUGCCCGGUAGCUAAAUGCGGAAGAGAUAAGUGCUGAAAGCAUCUAAGCACGAAACUUGCCCCGA
rnacentral:rRNA from 1 species